GCUGAGGAUUGAGGGCCGUGUCAAGCUUGAGCUCUUUCGUCAGUGCUAGAAAUGGACGUUUAGUUAUCGAAGCCUGCUGACGAGGGGAGCCAACAAGAGAGGGAUGUCGGCAUCGGGUCCGGUUUCAGCUGUGUGCAGCCUCCAAGCUUCAAGCACAAAGGAUCACUCAGUGGCUGAAGAGCAGGAGCCCCAAGCACCUCUGCUAGUUUAUUGGAGUGCUCGGUAAUCUUCCUUCAGCUCGAGCAACGGGCUCCUCAACAAGUAUCAGGUGAGUCUUCUUCAGUUUCCUGGUUGGCCACUUCGUUCUUUUGCUUCCAUUUUACCUUUUGUUCCAAAUUUUUUGUCUGAAGAGUUAUCCUUUCUGGCAGCCUUUUGUGGCUUAACUUCCACUUUUGCAGGAACAGAUUACUUCUGGCCAUCAAAUGUGUGAGGUUUUGGAGCAUCCUACAACUCAAUUGACUUCAGAAACUGUCUACUUAGAUUUGGUGCGGACCCCACAGGUUAAGUGCUCAGUCCCACAGGAAUGCUCCCCUACUUCAGAUGCCAGAGGCACGUCCGGACUGUCACCUGUGCUUCCAAGCUUCUGCCUGUAAAUCAGAAGCUGCCCCUAUCCCCUCCUCAAGUUUGCAAAUUUGCUAGAGUAGCUCACAGAACUACUAGAGUACCUGUUUACUGUAAAAGGAUCCGACAGCCAGAUGGAGAUGCACACAGCAGCACAUGGGGAAAGGGUCAAGGAGCUUCCGCGCCUUCUUCAGGUGAGCCCCCUCCACAUGUUCACCCACCUGAAAGCUCUCAGAACCCCAUUUUUUUUUACUUUUGAUGAAGGCAUCCGUACACACACGUGAUCAAGUCAUUGGCCGUUGGUGAUGCACUCAACUCUCAGCCCCUCUCUACUCCCGGGACUGGUCAGUGGGCUAAAUAUUCCAAACCUCUCAUCGCCUGGCUGGUUCCCCUGGAGACCUGCCCCCAUCCUGAGGCUAUCCAGGAGCCCCCAGUCACCAGUCACUUCAUUAAUAUACAAAAGACUUUGAUCACUCUGGGAUUCCAGGGCUUUAGGAGCUGUGUGCCAGGAAAUGGGGGCAGAGAGUAAGUAUAGUCGUUCAGUGCACAGGAUGUUUACGUCAAGGCUGGGCAUAGUGGCUCAUGUCUAUAAUCCCAACACUUUGGGAGGCCGAAGUGGGUGAAUUGCUUGAGGCCAGGAGUUCAAGACCAUCUUAGGCAACACAGUGAAACCUUGUCUCUACAAAAAAUACAAAAAUUAGUUGGGUGUGGUGGUGAGCGCCUGUAGUCCCAGCUACUCAGGAGACUGAGGUAGGAGGAUCACUUGAACCCCAAAGGCAGAGGUUGCAGUGAGCCAAGAUUGCACCACUACACUCCAGCCUGGGUAAUGGAGCAAGACCUCUCAAAAGAAAAAGAUGUUUAGUUCAACAACGGACCACAUACACCAUAGUGAUCCUGAGACAGCCAGGUAGGAGGGGGUCCCUGGAGAAACUCCAGUCAGCCUACGCACUGGGCUGGAGCCCCACAAAGUUUGCUCCCUUUGCAGUGGGGAGGAGCCUGGCCCCUCCUCUUCCUGUGUGGAACCUGGGAUUCAAGCCGCAAGCGGGAAGUGCGCUAGCCUAGGGAUUCUGGCCUAGGGAGAGUCCCGUUUCCCCUUUCCUUCCUUUUCAUCCAAUAAAACCCGUCUUACUCACC
rnacentral:lncRNA from 1 species